rnacentral:rRNA from 1 species
AACUAACGCUGGCGGCGUGCCUAACACAUGCAAGUCGUACGAGAAAGCCGGCUUCGGCUGGUGAGUAAAGUGGCGCACGGGUGAGUAACGCGUGGAUAAUCUGCCCUUAAGUGUGGAAUAACGUACCGAAAGGUGCGCUAAUACCGCAUAAUGCCUGGCAACACAAGUUGUCCGGCCAAAGAAGGCCUCUGUUUACAAGCUUUCGCUUCAGGAUGAGUCCGCGUACCAUUAGCUUGUCGGUGGGGUAAUGGCCUACCAAGGCUGCGAUGGUUAGCUGGUCUGAGAGGAUGAUCAGCCACACUGGAACUGAGACACGGUCCAGACUCCUACGGGAGGCAGCAGUGAGGAAUAUUGCGCAAUGGGGGCAACCCUGACGCAGCAACGCCGCGUGAGUGAGGAAGGUUUUCGGACUGUAAAGCUCUGUCGAGCGGGAAGAAGUGUACCAUGGCUAAUAUCCAUGAUAUUUGACGGUACCGCUAGAGG